rnacentral:rRNA from 1 species
GACGAACGCUGGCGGCGUGCCUAAUACAUGCAAGUCGAGCGGGCGAGGGGGGGAACUCUCUCGUCAGCGGCGGACGGGUGAGGAACACGUGAGUGACCUAGCCGGGGGCGGGGGAUAUCGGGCCGAAAGGCGCGGCAAUCCCGCAUACGCCCUGGUAGCGACGGCGCCAGGGGAAAGCGCGGCAGCGCACCCCCGGGGGGGCUCGCGGCCCAUUAGCUAGUUGGGGGGGUAACGGCCUCCCAAGGCGACGAUGGGUAGCCGGCCUGAGAGGGUGGACGGCCACACUGGGACUGAGACACGGCCCAGACUCCUACGGGAGGCAGCAGUAGGGAAUCUUCCACAAUGGGCGCAAGCCUGAUGGAGCAACGCCGCGUGAGCGAAGACGGCCUUCGGGUUGUAAAGCUCUGUCGGUCGGGACGAGGACCCGCGGGGGGCCGCGGGGGGGCCGGUACCGGCCGAGGAAGCCCCUGCAAACUACGUGCCAGCAGCCGCGGUAAGACGUAGGGGGCGAGCGUUGUCCGGAAUGACUGGGCGUAAAGGGCGUGUAGGCGGUUCGGUACGUAGCGAUUGAAAGCCGCCGGCUCAGCCGGCGGGAGGUUGCUAAACGGCCGGGCUCGAGGGCAGGAGAGGUGCGGGGAAUUCCUGGUGGAGCGGUGAAAUGCGUAGAGAUCAGGAAGAACACCGGUGGCGAAGGCGCCGCACUGGACUGGCCCUGACGCUGAGGCGCGACAGCGUGGGGAGCGAACGGGAUUAGAUACCCCGGUAGUCCACGCCGUAAACGAUGGGGACUAGGUGUUGCGCGGGUGCACCGCGCGGUGCCGGAGCUAACGCACUAAGUCCCCCGCCUGGGGAGUACGGCCGCAAGGUUGAAACUCAAAGGAAUUGACGGGGGCCCGCACAAGCAGUGGAGCAUGUGGUUUAAUUCGACGCAACGCGAAGAACCUUACCAGGCUAGACGGGACCGUGAGCGUCGCGAAAGCGGCGGGCGCUGGGGGGAACUCUGGCGAGCGGUCGGCAGGUGCUGCAUGGUUGUCGUCAGCUCGUGUC